rnacentral:misc_RNA from 1 species
CAAACCAAUGACAUUCAUCUCUCAAGUCUAGAUGAGGAAGAUGUUCAAAGGAGGAAGAAAAUUAACUGGGGAACAUUGUCUCUUGUUAACUUGUUAAUUAGAGAAGCAGAACUGAUUACAGAGAGGAGUGUAGCUAAACUAUUCUCGCCAGAUUCUUGUGAAUCAAACAGAGCUAAAAUCGGUGUCAAAGAUCGGAGAAAUUACAAUAGGAGUGGUCGCGAGGACUAUGCAGCUUCUUGUGUGUUUGUUUACACUCGUGAUUCAGCACCACCUACAGAAAACACAAGCCUGUGGCGGUGUUUACACCUCACCCAGUGGCUCCAUCUCGUCCCCGCUGUACCCCAGUCAGUACCCACCUAAUGAAGACUGUAUCCACAUCAUCAACACAACACAGGGCCAUCGCAUUACCUUGACUUUCGUUACAUUUGAAAUUGAGGCUGCACCCGAUGACUGCAAGUUGGACUAUUUGCAGAUCCGGGAUGGAAGCUCCGAGCUGUCACCGUCUAUGGGUAUCUUCUGUAACACGAGUGUUCCGGACAGAGUGAGGUCCACGUCUAACACCAUGUGGAUCAGAUUCCGGUCUGGCUCACAGUCAGGCACUGGCUUCAAUGCAACUUACUCAUCAGCAAUCAUUCCACACAAGUUUCUCCUUGUCACUGACACUGAUAACGGCAUCCGUCGCAUAGACAUCGACACGGGAAGUAAUGUUACAAUCCGUCCUGAUGGUCUACAGGACCCAUUUGGUAUUGACUACGAUCCAGUAGACGGUCGUGUCUAUUGGUCAAAUCAACAGGACGGGACCAUUCGAUCCGCUAACCUUGAUGGCAGCGAUGCUCGGCUGGUUCACAAUAUAAGUCAAGGAGGUUUUCUAUCGGGCCUUUCGUUGGACUCUGUGUCGAGGCUACUAUUCUACGCCGACCCUAGGAACAAGGUCAUCGGAAUGAUAUCACUGGACAACAACAGUCAUCAUAUUGUCGUCGAUUCAGACAUUGGUUAUCCUAUAGACGUCGAGCUGGACAAACACAAUUGUGUCAUCUACUGGAGUGACUACAGCAGCAAUAAAAUAGAGAGGUGUAACUAUGACGGCUCGGACCGUCAGACAUUUAUUUCCUCCAUCGCGCAUCUUAAAAAUCCAACUGGUCUUGCUUUGGACACAGAAGGGAGGAGACUUUACUGGGCAGAUGUAGGUACACAGCUGAUAGGAUGGACGGAUCUGGACGACAGAAAUACUGGAGUUUAUUUACAGCAGGGCUCGUAUUUUACGGGCCUGGAUAUCUACAACACUGACUUGUUUGUCGCGGACUGGGAACCUGAACAAGCGUAUGCAGAAACAACACACAUCUAUCGCAUUGGCAAAAAUGGAAGAAUAAGGGAGACUGUACAAGUUAAAGGGAGAGUAAACGAUGUUCGGGUCUAUGCGGAAGAAAGAAUACAUAAAGAAGCUGCGUCAGUGUAUACUGCUCCUUACAGAAAACAUUUGUGUACAGCAAUAGCUUUGUUAACCAAGUAGAUGGGAUCAUCGCAGACAGUCCAUCAACUUCAUUUGCCUCAUCAAAUUCUGUUGAGCUGGUGGAAAACAAAGUGGCAGACAGUUCACAAAGGGAGCCUACAAAGGAUGUCAACAGACAGGAAUGCUUAUAAUGACCUUAUGACC